ACUCUGACCCAGCCAUGCCGCGUGCAGGAAGACUGCCCUAUGGGUGGUAAACUGCUUUUAUACAGGAAGAAACACACCUACGUGUGAGGUGCUUGACGGUACUGUAAGAAUAAGCACCGGCUAACUUCGUGCCAGCAGCCGCGGUAAUACGGAGGGUGCAAGCGUUAUCCGGAAUCAUUGGGUUUAAAGGGUCCGCAGGCGGUCAAUUAAGUCAGAGGUGAAAUCCCGUCGCUCAACGACGGAACUGCCUUUGAUACUGGUUGACUUGAGUUAUACGGAAGUAGAUAGAAUAAGUAGUGUAGCGGUGAAAUGCAUAGAUAUUACUUAGAAUACCAAUUGCGAAGGCAGAUCACUAGUAAUCAACUGACACUGAU
rnacentral:rRNA from 1 species